UGCCUGAAAAGUUGGCAGUAGCUAAUACAUCAAUCGAUCAAAAUGAGCCGAAAGAGCUCUCACGUAACAGACGAGCUAAUUCCCUUGAGGAUCUUCUUUACACCCUUGAUCGACCAGCUCUCCAGAGAGAAGUAACUCGAUGAAACCUCCUCCUGGGUGGCUGUGGAAACCUCAACUUUUCCAUUGGGAUGUUCAUUCAUGCAAUUCCAAUUAAACGUCUUCUCACCGGCCCAGCUGGCUUAAUGCAGUCCCGGUUUGAUGAUUCUUCCGUACAGCCCUACAUCAUUCACAGAGAAAAGGAUGGCAGAUAAGGACCUCAACGAUACAGCACAUUUCAGGCUUCUUUAGACCAUGACAAAGGAUGUUGUACCAGAACUAUAUUCUUGCCUAGAGGUUAUGCCUUGGUGUUAUGAAUGGAGAAGUUCCAUGAUUUACUCGGUUCUGGAAUUAUUUGGUCGUGUGAGAUGAUUUCCCUGAUGUGAAGCACGACAAGAAUACUCGUAUGUAUGUAUGUAUUCAACUUUGUGUUC